rnacentral:misc_RNA from 1 species
UUUCCGUAGGUGAACCUGCGGAAGGAUCAUUAACACUAAAUCCAAAUAAACUUGGGAAUCAUUCCCUUGUUUUAAACACUUUAAACCUUUUUCCUUUUUUUGUGCUCCUCUCCUCGCACAGAGGGUGAGGGAAUACAAGGGGAAACUAACCUGUCGAGUUGGUAGAGAGAGAGGCGAGGGGAGGGGAAGAGGAAAUCUCUUUUGGGGGUUUCCUUUUUCUUUUUUUUCUCUCACUCUCUUUUCCUACUCGUUUUCUCUUUUUUUUCUUUUUUUCUUUUCUUUUUUUUUCAACCCCAAAAAACAAAAAACAACAACAAUCUUAAAACAAAAAAUGACUUGUUUCUUUCUUUUUUUGAAAAACAAAAAAAAACCAAACAAAACAAAAAAAAUAAAAUUAUAAAAACAACUCUUAACAACGGAUAUCUUGGCUCUC